rnacentral:piRNA from 1 species
AGGCGCUGGGACCCUCGCAUAAGCUA